UUGGAGAGCCAAUGACAGACCAGAGAUAGUGCAUAGAAUUCUUCUCAUCUGCACUCUCGGCGAUAACAUGAAUAAUGCAAACGAAAUGGUCACUAAAUCAGUUAUAAACUAGCCUGUACUCCAUCUUCUACGAGUUCGAAGUGCAUGGCCAAUUACAUGGGUAGUUCUUUCGUUUCUGUGUGUCUUUCCCCACUUUGACCAGGCCGAGGUGAUCUGUUCAUACCUUACUGAUAGGAAGCACCAAGAAAAGAUUCAACCAAAUAACUAUAAACAAUACUUCAGCUGCAAUUGGUAGCCCGUUUCUAGUGCGGUCUCUCAUUUGCCUGCCGGAAGAGGGGAAGGCAUUCAACAAAGACGAACGGAAAAUGAUGAGACAAAGUUUGAGUAUCUAUUACGAAAACAUUUUGCCUUUCAAUGAAUGGAUAUCAACAUGGUCUCGCAGGCCGCUUCUUGUUCCAGAAGCUAAAACAACAUAUUCUGACUACUGUUCUUACACAAGAAGAAACGGUUUUGCCCCAACACACCGUGGAAUUAACUUCCAGAUCUUAGAUUCAUUCUUGAAAAUGAUUGAAAUCGUUGUUUAAUGCUCGUUUAAAGUCUUCACGUAUUGGACAAUACAGAGAAAAUGAAGGCGUAUGCAUCUAGUGGAGGUCGAUUGAAAUCGACUAAGGAAAACGGAUAGCUAAAGCAGAACAGUUUUCUCUAGUAUCAAUGUGCUGCGAACAAAAUGAGACAAUGGGUUCACUUUUGCACCACUAGGCACUCCGAAGUAUUCAGUGACGAAAUAUUUUAGGGAAUUAGGUAUCAGUAAUUAUUGUUAAUCGUACAGAAUGUUUCUAAACUUGGGCACAGGACGACAUCCGAUGGAUUGGAAGCCUUAUUUGACCUUAUUUUUGAGUAGCUCUUACACUUUCUCAAUAGUAAAUGCGGUCCUACAAUAACUGACCACUAUUCCACUGAAAUAAAUACGUUAUUUACUAAAAACUCCCAGAAAAAAUUCUAAAAUAAUAUUAAACUGUCAAUUCAACGUAAUUACCAGUAUUCUUUAAAAUUUUAUAGUGAACGACCCUGUACUGUUUAAAUGUUUUAAAAGAAUCCAAUCAACUUCCGAAUGUUUAAGUCAAGCGUUUUUAAAUUUGAGAGAAAUUCAAGAGUUUCAUCGUUGUCAUUUGAAAAUCAGUUGAUGCAUGUCGUCCAGAAAUUAUGAUAAAUCAAGGAGUGCGCCCAGGCUACAGCU